GAGUUUGAUCAUGGCUCAGGACGAACGCUGGCGGCGUGCCUAAUACAUGCAAGUCGAACGCGUCUCCGUUAAUGAUUUUAGGUGCUUGCACUUGAAAGAUUUAACAUUGAGACGAGUGGCGAACUGGUGAGUAACACGUGGGUAACCUGCCCUUGAAGUAGGGGAUAACACUUGGAAACAGGUGCUAAUACCGUAUAACAACCAAAACCACCUGGUUUUGGUUUAAAAGACGGCUUCGGCUGUCACUUUAGGAUGGACCCGCGGCGUAUUAGCUUGUUGGUAAGGUAACGGCCUACCAAGGCGAUGAUACGUAGCCGACCUGAGAGGGUAAUCGGCCACAUUGGGACUGAGACACGGCCCAAACUCCUACGGGAGGCAGCAGUAGGGAAUCUUCCACAAUGGACGAAAGUCUGAUGGAGCAACGCCGCGUGAGUGAUGAAGGGUUUCGGCUCGUAAAACUCUGUUGUUGGAGAAGAACAGGUGUCAGAGUAACUGUUGACAUCUUGACGGUAUCCAACCAGAAAGCCACGGCUAACUACGUGCCAGCAGCCGCGGUAAUACGUAGGUGGCAAGCGUUGUCCGGAUUUAUUGGGCGUAAAGCGAGCGCAGGCGGUUUUUUAGGUCUGAUGUGAAAGCCUUCGGCUUAACCGGAGAAGUGCAUCGGAAACCGGGAGACUUGAGUGCAGAAGAGGACAGUGGAACUCCAUGUGUAGCGGUGAAAUGCGUAGA
rnacentral:rRNA from 1 species